CCAAUCUAUACAGACGGUGAGAUGGAUGAUAUCACAGUUGAGGUAGCCAUGCAGUACACAACGGGUUACCAUGAAAAUGUCAUGAGUUUCGCCAAUAAUAUUCAUACACAUGAAGGUGGAACGCAUGAACAAGGUUUCCGUACAGCCUUGACACGUGUUAUCAACGAUUAUGCUCGUAAAAAUAAGUUACUGAAAGACAAUGAAGACAAUCUAACAGGGGAAGAUGUUCGCGAAGGCUUAACUGCAGUUAUCUCAGUUAAACACCCAAAUCCACAGUUUGAAGGACAAACGAAGACCAAAUUGGGAAAUAGCGAAGUGGUCAAGAUUACCAAUCGCCUCUUCAGUGAAGCCUUCUCCGAUUUCCUCAUGGAAAAUCCACAGAUUGCCAAACGUAUCGUAGAAAAAGGAAUUUUGGCUGCCAAGGCUCGUGUGGCUGCCAAGCGUGCGCGUGAAGUCACACGUAAAAAAUCUGGUUUGGAAAUUUCCAACCUUCCAGGGAAACUAGCAGACUGUUCUUCUAAUAACCCUGCUGAAACAGAACUCUUCAUCGUCGAAGGAGACUCAGCUGGUGGAUCAGCCAAAUCUGGUCGUAACCGUGAGUUUCAGGCUAUCCUUCCAAUUCGCGGUAAGAUUUUGAACGUUGAAAAAGCAAGUAUGGAUAAGAUUCUAGCUAACGAAGAAAUUCGUAGUCUUUUCACAGCCAUGGGAACAGGAUUUGGCGCAGAAUUUGAUGUUUCGAAAGCCCGUUACCAAAAACUCGUUUUGAUGACCGAUGCCGAUGUCGAUGGAGCCCACAUUCGUACCCUUCUUUUAACCUUGAUUUAUCGUUAUAUGAAACCAAUCCUAGAAGCUGGCUAUGUUUAUAUUGCCCAACCACCAAUCUAUGGUGUCAAGGUUGGAAGCGAGAUUAAAGAAUAUAUCCAGCCGGGUGCAGAUCAAGAAAUCAAACUCCAAGAAGCUUUAGCCCGUUAUAGUGAAGGUCGUACCAAACCGACUAUUCAGCGUUAUAAGGGGCUAGGUGAAAUGAACGAUCAUCAGCUGUGGGAAACAACCAUGGAUCCCGAACAUCGCUUGAUGGCUAGAGUUUCUGUAGAUGAUGCUGCAGAAGCAGAUAAAAUCUUUGAUAUGUUGAUGGGGGAUCGAGUAGAGCCUCGUCGUGAGUUUAUCGAAGAAAAUGCUGUCUAUAGUACACUUGAUGUCUAAAAAAUAGGGAGAAGUAGUUCCCUUGGUCUAAAAAAUAUGAUAUAAUCGUUACGAUUGUUUCAAGUAAAAAAGGAGUUUGAUAUGUCUAAUGGACAACUAAUUUAUUUAAUGGUUGCAAUUGCAGUCAUUUUAGUUCUGGCUUAUGUAGUGGCAAUCUUUCUACGUAAGCGAAACGAGGGGAGAUUAGAGGCGCUAGAAGAAAGAAAAGAAGAACUAUACAAUCUUCCAGUAAAUGAUGAAGUAGAAGCUGUAAAAAAUAUGCACUUGAUUGGACAAAGUCAAGUGGCUUUCCGUGAAUGGAAUCAAAAAUGGGUCGAUUUAUCUCUCAACUCUUUUGCCGAUAUUGAAAAUAAUCUCUUUGAAGCAGAAGGUUAUAACCAUUCAUUUCGUUUUCUCAAGGCCAGUCAUCAAAUUGACCAAAUUGAGAGUCAAAUUACUUUGAUUGAAGAAGAUAUUGCGGCAAUUCGCAAUGCUUUGGCAGACUUAGAGAAGCAAGAAUCUAAAAAUAGUGGUCGUGUUCUUCAUGCUUUGGAUUUAUUUGAGGAACUUCAGCAUAGAGUUGCUGAAAAUUCAGAACAGUAUGGUCAAGCCUUGGAUGAAAUUGAAAAACAAUUAGAAAAUAUCCAAUCUGAAUUUUCACAAUUUGUAACCUUGAAUUCAUCGGGUGACCCUGUGGAAGCUGCAGUGAUUUUGGAUAAUACAGAAAAUCACAUUUUGGCCUUAAGUCAUAUUGUGGAUCGUGUUCCAGCCUUGGUUACGACGCUUUCUACAGAAUUGCCAGAUCAAUUACAGGAUUUGGAAUCCGGUUAUCGUAAACUAAUUGAUGCUAAUUAUCAUUUUGUUGAAACGGAUAUUGAAGCGCGUUUCCACUUGCUUUAUGAAGCAUUCAAGAAAAACCAAGAGAAUAUUCGUCAGUUGGAAUUGGAUAAUGCCGAAUAUGAGAAUGGACAGGCACAAGAGGAAAUCAAUGCCUUGUAUGAUAUUUUUACUCGAGAAAUUGCUGCUCAGAAAGUAGUGGAAAAUCUACUUGCAACUCUUCCAACUUACCUUCAACAUAUGAAAGAGAAUAAUACUUUAUUGGGAGAAGAUAUUGCACGUUUGAACAAGACCUAUUUACUUCCUGAGACAGCUGCAAGCCAUGUUCGUCGUAUUCAGACAGAAUUAGAGAGUUUUGAGGCAGCUAUUGUUGAGGUAACUUCAAAUCAAGAAGAACCAACCCAAGCUUAUUCAGUUCUUGAAGAAAAUCUUGAGGAUUUACAAACUCAACUAAAAGAUAUUGAAGAUGAGCAAAUUUCAGUUAGUGAGCGCCUGACACAAAUUGAGAAAGAUGAUAUUAAUGCACGUCAAAAGGCCAAUGUUUAUGUCAAUCGUCUCCAUACUAUCAAGCGAUACAUGGAAAAACGCAAUCUGCCAGGUAUUCCACAAACUUUCUUGAAGUUAUUCUUUACGGCAAGCAAUAAUACCGAGGAUUUAAUGGUUGAGUUAGAACAAAAAAUGAUUAACAUUGAAUCUGUUACCCGAGUUCUUGAAAUUGCAACGAAUGAUAUGGAAGCUUUAGAAACGGAAACUUAUAAUAUUGUACAAUAUGCAACUUUGACAGAGCAACUCUUGCAAUAUUCUAACCGCUAUCGCUCAUUUGAUGAACGCAUUCAAGAAGCAUUUAACGAAGCUUUAGAUAUUUUUGAAAAAGAAUUUGAUUAUCACGCUUCAUUUGACAAGAUUUCUCAAGCAUUGGAAGUGGCAGAGCCUGGUGUAACCAAUCGCUUUGUUACCUCAUAUGAGAAAACACGUGAAACGAUUCGUUUUUAAUAAAAGAAAAAGAUUUUAUUGUGUGAGGAGCAGAAUCAAAUCUUUUUCUAUAGUUGUGGGGAGAUUUACUUCAUUUUCUCCUGAGAUUGAGUUUUUGCCCAGCCGAUUUAUCCACCACCUCAAAACAGUGUUUUAUACUCUUCGAAAAUCUCUUCAAAUCACGUCAGCGUCGCCUUACCGUACUCAAGUACAGCCUGAGGCUAGCUUCUUAGUUUGCUUUUUGAUUUUCAUUUAGUAUUAAAGUGAUUUCGUCAGUCUUAUCUGCAGCUUCAAAUCUGUACUUUGAGUAACUUGGUAACCGUCCAAUAAUGAAGUCUAUUGAAAAAUCUCCAGACUAGAGAACUCACGGAUAGUUCCUAAUCUGGAGAUUUCUUAUUUGCACUUUUCUUGUACAACUUUAGUCUACGGUAAAUAGGCCUCUAAAACCUCUUUGUUUACGAGAGUUUUCUCGUUUGGAAGACAUUCUAGAAGAUAGGAUAGAUAUUUCUCGCUAUUUAUACCAGACUAAAAUAAAAAAGCACUAUAUAAUAGUAAUAUGAAAUCAACUAAAGAAGAAAUCCAAACCAUCAAAACACUUUUAAAAGACUCUCGUACAGCUAAAUAUCAUAAACACCUUCAAAUCGUUCUAUAGUAAAAUGAAAUAAGAACAGUACAAAUCGAUUAGGACAGUCAAAUUGAUUUCUAACAAUGUUUUAGAAGUAGAGGUGUACUAUUCUAGUUUCAAUUUAUUAUAUUUCGUCUGAUGGGCAAAUCUUAUAAAGAGAUUAUAGAACUUUUAGACUGUAAUCAAACAAUGAUUUGGCGAAAUGUAAAAAAAUAUGAGGAGUUCGGACUCGACUCUCUCCUUCAAGAAACACGUGGUGGUCGUAACCAUGCAUAUAUGACGGUUGGGGAAGAGAAAGCCUUUCUUGCCCGUCAUUUGAAGGCUGCAGAGGCAGGAGAAUUUGUUACAAUUGAUGCCUUAUUUCAGGCUUAUAAAAAGGAGUUAGGUCGUUCCUACACACGUGAUGCCUUCUAUCAACUGUUGAAGCNGUGACGUCACACUGCCAAGAAAAGCUUCUAGCGUUUAAACAUACUCUACCCGUACCGCAAACCGACACAGGUAGUCGAGGCGAGUAGCCUCAGGUGAGCGAGAGAACUCUCGUUAAGGAACUCGGCAAAAUGACCCCGUAACUUCGGGAGAAGGGGUGCUGACUUUAAGUCAGCCGCAGUGAAUAGGCCCAAGCAACUGUUUAUCAAAAACACAGCUCUCUGCUAAAUCGUAAGAUGAUGUAUAGGGGGUGACGCCUGCCCGGUGCUGGAAGGUUAAGAGGAGUGCUUAGCGUAAGCGAAGGUAUGAAUUGAAGCCCCAGUAAACGGCGGCCGUAACUAUAACGGUCCUAAGGUAGCGAAAUUCCUUGUCGGGUAAGUUCCGACCCGCACGAAAGGCGUAAUGAUUUGGGCACUGUCUCAACGAGAGACUCGGUGAAAUUUUAGUACCUGUGAAGAUGCAGGUUACCCGCGACAGGACGGAAAGACCCCAUGGAGCUUUACUGCAGUUUGAUAUUGAGUGUCUGUACCACAUGUACAGGAUAGGUAGGAGUCUAAGAGAUCGGGACGCCAGUUUCGAAGGAGACGCUGUUGGGAUACUACCCUUGUGUUAUGGCCACUCUAACCCAGAUAGGUGAUCCCUAUCGGAGACAGUGUCUGACGGGCAGUUUGACUGGGGCGGUCGCCUCCUAAAAGGUAACGGAGGCGCCCAAAGGUUCCCUCAGAAUGGUUGGAAAUCAUUCGCAGAGUGUAAAGGUAUAAGGGAGCUUGACUGCGAGAGCUACAACUCGAGCAGGGACGAAAGUCGGGCUUAGUGAUCCGGUGGUUCCGUAUGGAAGGGCCAUCGCUCAACGGAUAAAAGCUACCCUGGGGAUAACAGGCUUAUCUCCCCCAAGAGUUCACAUCGACGGGGAGGUUUGGCACCUCGAUGUCGGCUCGUCGCAUCCUGGGGCUGUAGUCGGUCCCAAGGGUUGGGCUGUUCGCCCAUUAAAGCGGCACGCGAGCUGGGUUCAGAACGUCGUGAGACAGUUCGGUCCCUAUCCGUCGCGGGCGUAGGAAAUUUGAGAGGAUCUGCUCCUAGUACGAGAGGACCAGAGUGGACUUACCGCUGGUGUACCAGUUGUCUUGCCAAAGGCAUCGCUGGGUAGCUAUGUAGGGAAGGGAUAAACGCUGAAAGCAUCUAAGUGUGAAACCCACCUCAAGAUGAGAUUUCCCAUGAUUAUAUAUCAGUAAGAGCCCUGAGAGAUGAUCAGGUAGAUAGGUUAGAAGUGGAAGUGUGGCGACACAUGUAGCGGACUAAUACUAAUAGCUCGAGGACUUAUCCAA
rnacentral:rRNA from 1 species